rnacentral:tRNA from 2 species
GCGGGAUUAGUUUAAUGGUAGAACAUCAGUUUUCCAAACUGAUAGCAAGGGUUCGAUUCCCUUAUCCCGCA